AAGAAAGAAAGCUGUGUGAUGGCGAGCUGACUGCAGACUAUUGGCCUGACCUGGAGGAAAAAAGCCCCCUCUGUGCAUGGCUCAGGGUGAGAUCCAUACUUUGCCCUCUCUCUUCCCUUCUCACUUACCUUUUUCUCUUUCUUAGUAGGGAGGAGGGAUGUAGGUAAUGAAGCUUAAGUGAGCCUGGUGUCUGGUAAUGUAAUAUACACAAAGCCCUUGUCAGGUCUGGAUCCAAUAAUGUGUCAUUUACCACGUCUGGAACAGAUUGGCCCAGAUGAUCGGAGUGAACCUUUGCCCGGGUGAAGAGUGCUCAGCAUCCCUCGGCCUGGAGGCCUUACAAGCAGGCCCUUGACUCACCCCAUGUCCCCUGCACCUUUCACCUCUUCUCACCCAUCUCUCAUAAAAGCCAAAGCAUGCCUCGGACGAGAUAGUUUGUGUGACAAUUUGUGAGCAUUUGUAUCAGUCGUAUUAUUUGC
rnacentral:lncRNA from 1 species